AGUGAACGCUGGCGGUAGGCCUAACACAUGCAAGUCGAACGGCAGCACAGUAGGAGCUUGCUCUUACGGGUGGCGAGUGGCGGACGGGUGAGGAAUACAUCGGAAUCUACUUUUUCGUGGGGGAUAACGUAGGGAAACUUACGCUAAUACCGCAUACGACCUACGGGUGAAAGCAGGGGAUCUUCGGACCUUGCGCGAUUGAAUGAGCCGAUGUCGGAUUAGCUAGUUGGCGGGGUAAAGGCCCACCAAGGCGACGAUCCGUAGCUGGUCUGAGAGGAUGAUCAGCCACACUGGAACUGAGACACGGUCCAGACUCCUACGGGAGGCAGCAGUGGGGAAUAUUGGACAAUGGGCGCAAGCCUGAUACAGCCAUACCGCGUGGGUGAAGAAGGCCUUCGGGUUGUAAAGCCCUUUUGUUGGGAAAGAAAAGCAGCAGGUUAAUACCCCGCUGUUCUGACGGUACCCAAAGAAUAAGCACCGGCUAACUUCGUG
rnacentral:rRNA from 1 species